GCAAACUUGGUCAUUUAGAGGAAGUAAAAGUCGUAACAAGGUUUCCGUAGGUGAACCUGCGGAAGGAUCAUUGCUGAGCGUGGUGUCCUGUCUCGCGCAAGCGAGAGAGGCACCUUUCUCACCAACACCCAUGUGAACUCGUGAAUGUGACUGGAGCCACACACUGCGCACACACACGUGUGCUGCUGUGUUGUUGGUAUCCUUUUUAAACAAUCACCCCAACAAUUGUCUUCUCUGACUGAGAUAAACGUUGUCGUCGUCGGCGUGUGUCGUCGUCUUCGGACGCGCUGCGCUUUCGGUGACACAAAAACAAGACAAACUAUCACAACUUUUAACAACGGAUAUCUUGGCUCGCGCAUCGAUGAAGAACGCAGC
rnacentral:misc_RNA from 1 species